rnacentral:lncRNA from 1 species
UGGAUAUUUUCUAUAUGUCGCGCCUCGAAUUCUAAGGAUUUUUAAGAUAAUUAAAUGAGGGCCACACAUUUGUGAUUUUAUUUUGUGCACCGCACCUUAACUUCAUUUUAAAAGGAUAUUGUACCUAAAAUUUGGAGGGCCAUAACUAUUUGUCUUAUCUAGUAUUUUACACAUCCCAAUUAUUUAAAUGGACCUUAAUUAAUUAACACUAAAUAAAGUUAAAGGUUCUAUUUAAACUAACUAGAGGUUUACAUGAAAAAGUCGAUUAUUUUAAGCAAAGGGCCUUGGCCCAGCACAAACAAUCAAGUGGUCACAAGAGAAAGGAGCGACCUAUGUCUCACUUGAAUGAGACUGUCCCAUUUGGACCCAAGAAUGAGCCCAAGAUCAUAAACAUGUUGCUUUUGAGUGAGAGACUCAGCAUCGAGUCUCCCAAGCACAAAUAAGUGCUUGAAGUGACAAAUAUUUGGACACAAAUUAAGAAAACCAAAAUGGAGACAAACACAUAUGCAAAUGAACUUUGAAAAUCACUUUUUACUUAUUAGUAGGUAGCUAUAUGGCAUCUCACAAUGAACACAAUACAGGUUUUAAAACCAAUCAAUAGCCCUAUUUUAAUGACAUAGUUGUAGGCAAACUUUGCCUUCUAAAUCUCCAAAUCAAAUUGAAAUCAAAUUUGAAGACUUAUAUCUUAAACAAAGCUCGUAUGAACAGAGCUUCAUACAGUAAACUAAUAGCAUGCCCAUUUUAGCCAACUGAAACAUAAAUAAUAUUUGAAGCACCAACUGAUUUCGACUAAAACUAAGCAGAAUUAACGAUAUAUCAACCUGAAACUACGACCAUGACUUUCAAGACUAAAACUGAGUGAUUCUCAGCAGGAAAACUCACAAAGCUAGACACGGAUACAAAAUCAAACAUGAACUUGAAUAAAUAAAAUCCAUUGUUUACUUAUUGAUACAGAUGCAAAAUACCAUACCAAGUCACUCUCACACACUCAAUUUUAGAGGGAAGCAAGAGGCCCUAACUAACAUCUAUAACUUGAAAUCUAAUUAAAACAUGUAAUACUAAAAGGAGAAGGGAAAUGCAGCUUCAAAUAGAAUAUUCAUUGAACAAAACUUCAAAUCUUUUACAAGCUCAACAAUUAUGCCUCAAUCAUGAGCUAAGGAAAUACAUGGGAAAGCCAAAUAUUAAAAAAAGGGAUCAGUAAAGUAGAACAGUAUCAGCGGUUACAGCAGUAGAAAAUAGCACCAAAGCAACAAGUAAAAACAACUCUGAACCCUAGAAUGAUAGAUAGCAGCUCAAGAUAUAAGGUUUAAACCAAACAAAUAGCCUAGCAAAGCUUUAAACCAAAACUUUGACGACCAAGUUUAAGCCAUUUCUCACUUGGAUUAAUUCAAACAGCUUCAGAAGUUGAAAAGGGAUAAAAUCACUAAAAAUUUAAUGGUACAGUAACUUUUCUUUCAACUCUGAGAAGCUUUAUUUUUUGUGGAUUCCUAGAUCUCAGAAUCUCAUAUUAGCUUAAGGUAACAAUGCCUUUAUAGGCAAGCAACUAUGAUAACUAUCAGCUUUCAACUUUGCAUUUUAGUCCCUUUCAAAUUCCUAUUUUUUGUUACGUAAUCGCUCAUUUCUUGACUUGUUACCCAAACUAUAGUCUGAAAUUUUAAUAAAAGCCCCUACUAAAAUAUUCCUAGUUCAAUUAUACACAAGAUUCCCUUCCUCAAUUAUCUAAACUACCCUCUUAAACCAUCAAAAUUACCCCUCUUUUAAAACCCAUGCCAAUUGGGGCCUGAAUAAAAUUGGCCCAAACUAAUAGGUUCAGAUAAAAUCCAAUUCAACACUUCCUGGGUCUUUAAAUUUCAGUAGACUUCUUUUGUCAAUGAAGAGACCAUAUUUCACAAGCUAAACCACGGAGUCUCCAGGACUCGUGAAGUUUGGGCUUUAAGCAAAAUAAAAACAAAGAAGAAGAACAAAAGAAGGUUUCAAAUUUAACCCUGAAGCCAUUAUUGACUUCAUGAGCUUAGGACCAAACAGGCAGGCAUGAAACAUGAAACAAAAAUGGCAAAAUGAUGGCUCAAACAGAUAAUGAUGCAAUGUAAACAUAAAUGGACAUUAAUGAGCUGAGUGAAGAAACAACCAGUUCUGAAGAUGACGAAUCGCACUCGCAUGAACCCUGGGAGCUUGACCAGACCUGUUCACCUUCAUAAUGGGUUAGAACUCACAUUAAUCAACAGCCUUUUCCCAAAAGCUAUUGACUAAUGUCAACGUCGACUCAAAGCAUGGAAAAAUCAUUGACAAAAUUAAGGUGUGAGAGCUAGAGAAUUCCUACUAUUUGGAUUAGAGAUUUGAGGGGUUCUGUUGAGUAUUUUGGGGAGUGGGUCUAGGAUAUGAUUUGGCCAGGAUUGAUGGUUGCCUGGUAUGGAUUUUAGGGGUGGCUCAAGCUUCGCCGCCACCAGAGAUAGGGAAGAGGUGUGGAGCUAGCGCUGGUUCAAAUGAAAGAGACAAG